UCGAAAAUCCGUGAGGAGUACCCUGAUAGGAUGAUGCUGACAUUCUCUGUGUUUCCCUCCCCAAAGGUUUCAGAUACAGUGGUUGAGCCAUACAAUGCCACACUUUCUGUACAUCAGCUUGUUGAGAAUGCUGAUGAGUGCAUGGUUCUGGAUAACGAGGCUUUAUAUGAUAUUUGCUUCAGGACUCUUAAAUUGACUACUCCCAGCUGUAAGUAAAGAUGAAAUGGCUUUAGUUGCAUCUCCAAUCACUUCAAGUUCUGUGUGCAUCUUGUUUAUGUUAGCUGCUGUUCUUCAAGUUGGACUGGUUUAGAUUCCCUUUGCUUGUUUCGUUGUUGUGGAUUUGCUUGAUUCGACGCAUUCCUUGUCACUUUUCUUUUGUUCAAUUGAUCAUGUGAUACUUAAUUUGGUUGCUGGUUUUUUUGCAAUGUAAAAUUGUUGCUCGUUUAUUUGGGUUAUGGAGCUAGCUUAACAGUAUGCAAAUAAUGGAGCAUUCUGUGAUUUAAGUGGAAGAUGACCGCCAGUGGCAUCUUUACUUUUAGUAAUUUGUUUGUUGCUAAUGAAUUAACAUGCUUUAGAUCUGCUAGAUAUUCACCUUUUUUCUUUAUGUUCAGAGCAUUUGUGAUAAUUUAAAUAGGUUAGAGCAAUUUGAAAGACAAUUGCUGGCUAGUCAUUGUUUAGAGCAUUAAAUAAUGACAGUUUUGAAAUGCAAUUUGCUGGCAAGUUAUCGUGUUGCAAUCUUUUACAUGUUAAACUUAAUGAAUGUAAAAUAGCGAGUAGAUUCUGAAUUUCUUACUUUGGAUUUCUUUUAUCUCCAUUAUUAGUGACCAUUAUGUACUGUUGCAAUUGCUAUUUUGUUGCUUGAUGGCUGUGUUAAACAUAAGCUCAUUUGGGUCAUUAUUCCUUUACAGUUGGUGAUCUUAACCACUUGAUUUCUGCAACUAUGAGUGGUGUCACUUGCUGCCUGAGGUUCCCUGGUCAGCUCAACUCUGACCUCCGAAAGCUUGCUGUGAAUCUCAUCCCCUUCCCUCGUCUCCACUUCUUCAUGGUUGGCUUUGCUCCUCUGACCUCCCGUGGAUCCCAGCAAUAUCGUGCCCUCACUGUUCCUGAACUGACCCAGCAAAUGUGGGAUGCCAAGAACAUGAUGUGUGCUGCUGACCCAAGGCAUGGUCGCUACCUUACUGCCUCUGCCAUGUUCCGUGGCAAGAUGAGCACCAAGGAAGUAGACGAGCAGAUGAUCAAUGUCCAAAACAAGAACUCAUCAUACUUUGUUGAGUGGAUUCCACACAACGUGAAAUCCAGUGUCUGU
rnacentral:lncRNA from 1 species